AACGCACCUUGCGCCCCUUGGCAUUCCGAAGGGCACACCCGUUUGAGUGUCGUGAAAUCCUCAACCUUCUCCCUUUCUUGUUGAAUUGGGGGAAAGGCUUGGACUUUGGAGGUAUCAUUUUUUGCUGGCCUCUUUCCACUUGAAGCCAGCUCCUCUUAAAGGAAUUAGUGGGAUCCCCUUUGCCGAUCCUUGACGUGAUAAGCUUUUGCAACCUCGUCUCGAGAGGUAGAGAAACCCUGCUUCUAAAUUGUCUCGUUUGAGAUAUGGGUGGUUUUGAAAGGUUUGUUUUUUUGAUCCACCAAAUCCUUUUUGACCUCAAAUCGGGUGAGACUACCCGCUGAACUUAA
rnacentral:misc_RNA from 1 species